rnacentral:SRP_RNA from 1 species
GCCCGGCGUGGUGGUGCACGCCUGUAAUCCCAGCUACUCGGGAGGCUGAGGCAGGAGAAUCGCUUGAACCCAGGAGGCAGAGGUUGCAGUGAGCUGAGAUCGUGGCACUGCACUCCAGCCUGGGUGACAGAGCGAGACCCCGUCUCAA